ACGAGGAACAGCCCCAGUGGCGGGGCAGCUCUGGAAACCUGGAUUCAGCUCCGGCAGGAACUCCGUCUGCAGGGCCUGGAGGCUCCCGGGCGGG
rnacentral:pre_miRNA from 1 species